rnacentral:tRNA from 2 species
GGUCGAUUAGCUCAGUGGUAGAGCGCUUGCUUCACACGCAAGAUGUCACAAGUUCAAAUCUUGUAUCGACCACCA